GUCUAUGGCCAUACCACCCUGAACAUGCCCGAUCUAGUCUGAUCUUGGAAGUUAAGUGCAGUCAGGCCUGGUUAGUACUAGGAUGGGAGAAUAGUUAGAAAAAGAUGUCCUGAAAC
ensembl:rRNA 5S_rRNA 5S ribosomal RNA